rnacentral:rRNA from 1 species
AUUGAACGCUGGCGGCAGGCUUAACACAUGCAAGUCGAGCGAGCGGCGGACGGGUGAGUAAUGUAUGGGAAACUGCCUGAUGGAGGGGGAUAACUACUGGAAACGGUAGCUAAUACCGCAUACCAUCAGAUGUGCCCAGAUGGGAUAAGCUAGUAGGUGGGGUAAAGGCUCACCUAGUCGACGAUCUCUAGCUGGUCUGAGAGGAUGAUCAGCCACACUGGGACUGAGACACGGCCCAGACUCCUACGGGAUGCAGUAUGGGGGAAUAUUGGACAAUGGGCGAAAGCCUGAUGCAGCCAGGCCGCGUGUAUGAAGAAGGCCUUAGGGUUGUAAAGUACUUUCAGCGGGGAGGCGUUACCCGCAGAAGAAGCACCGGCUAACUCCGUGCCAGCAGCCGCGGUAAUUC